AGAUUGUGCCAUAGAAUUCUCACAUAAUUACAUUUAUCUUUCAAAUUGAGGAAAAAGGACAUAAGAAAGAGGGACCAGCAAGAGGGAGCACAAGAAUAGUGCCAAGAAUCAUUUCUUCAUCUCCAGUAGUGUGGCUGGUGAUAUACCACUUCCAGUGGAAUCCAUGCAGCAUCAACAGUGUAUUCAUCCAAGUCUCAGACUGCAUUUCAGAUCCAAACCUGGGAGGGAUGAAGUCUGUUGUUCUCUGCACCUUGACCAGUUGGGGACUCUUUUGUUAAUUACCAUCUACAGAAGAAAGAAUAUUCACUGAUGAGAACUGAGUGAUUCACUUCUCUAGUAGUAUAAUGAUAAGAAACAAUAAGUAGAUCCAAUACAAUGCCAUUUAGC
rnacentral:lncRNA from 1 species